UUUCUUUUGGCUUUUUGAGACAAGGUUUCACUAUGCAGUUCAGGCUGGGCUCGAACUCACUUUGUAGCCCAGGCUGACCUUGAACUCAGAGUGAUCCUCCUGCCUCAGCCUCCUGAGUUUUGGGGUUACAGGCAUGCAUCACCAUGCCUGGCUGGGAACUCUAAGUAUUUAUUGGAUGAAUGCCAACUCAUUUCUCAUUUCCUUGGUGCAGCUGCAUCGAGGAAAGAACACUGAAUGAUCCAGAGAGUGAGUUUUGGACAUAUCCAUGAAUAACUCCAUGAAGCAUGACAAGGGUGCUCCACGGAUCUGCGAUCAUCCAAAGAGACUUCCUAGAGCACAAGGCAAUGGCUCACAUGUUCACUGACCAGCGGCAGCUGCUGAACGGCUGGAACUGCACUCAAGCAGCUGCACAUCCUCUGAGAUCAGGUAAGACUUUUGAAUAUCCGAACAGAUCUCAAAAAGUGGAGGAGAGAAAACCAAAACGUGGAAGAAAAACAUCAAAACAGAUCCACAGCGGAGCCCAAUCUGUGUGCGAGCCAGUGGAAUUCACUUUAACAGGUUUACUUAUUACGUCUUCCAUCAACCUUAAUGAAGCUGAGAAGUUUCAAGGUCCACGUGUUACAGCUCAAGGACAAGUGUGGGGCCCUGGCUCCAAGCAUAUUAUGAUUGGCUGCGUGUUACUAAACAACAAAAAUAGCCUUACAUCUGUUGUCAUUGCAGGGCUGGGACAUUACUUACAAGAGGGUCACUCGAGUUCCACCAGCAGCCACUAGUAAAAUACUAAUAAUAUAGAGAUGGUGACUUGCACUAUCAGAAAAAUAAAAAGAGAACCAAGGCAAAAGGCAGCUUCUGGUGAGGUGGAAACUAGAGGCAAAGAUACUCUUUGAAACAUUAAAUUCUCAGCCAGGAAGCAAAAAAGAAGCCCUCAUAAAGGUAUUUGUUAUUUUGGGAAAAGUUCUCAGUCAAUAGGAGCCAUCAAAGUUUUGAGGCUCAAUUUUGGCAGGGCCAGGGCUGGGGAUCAGAGCCAGGGCU
rnacentral:lncRNA from 1 species